rnacentral:rRNA from 1 species
AGGACGAACGGCUGGCGGCGUGCCUAACACAUGCAAGUCGAACGGGGAUUUGUUUCGGCAGAAUCCUAGUGGCGAACGGGUGAGUAACGCGUAGGCAACCUGCCCUCCGGCCGGGGACGAACACUCCGAAAGGGGUGCUAAUACCGGAUACGAAGUCUGUGCCGCAUGGUACGGAUUUGAAAGAUGGCCUCUAUUUAUAAGCUAUCGCCGGGGGAUGGGCCUGCGUCCGAUUAGCUGGUUGGUGGGGUAACGGCCUACCAAGGCGACGAUCGGUAGCCGGUCUGAGAGGAUGAACGGCCACAUUGGGACUGAGACACGGCCCAGACUCCUACGGGAGGCAGCAGUGGGAAUCUUCCGCAAUGGGCGCAAGCCUGAACCGGAGCAACGCCGCGUGAGUGAGGAAGUUCUUCGGAACGUAAAGCUCUGUCCUUGGUGAAGAGAGAGAGACGGUAGCCAAGGAGGAAGCCCCGGCUAACUACGUGCCAGCCGCCGC